AUUUAUAGUCCUGGGAGAGCUGAGUCUGUUCUGGAGGAACUGCACAUGCCCUCAUGCCAUAGGCAUUCAGCAUUUUGUAGAGCCUCGGAGUCCUUGUGCUGAAUCUUUAUAAUUAUGCCCAGAUACAGAAGAAUAUCUAGAUUGUAUUUGGGCCACAUAACAUAAGUGAAGAGGCAGAAAAGCUGAUCCACAGUGACCCCAACAAGACUGCUGCAGGGAGAUGGUGUAAGAGAAGAACACUUAUUCAGCAGGAGCAGGUGUUUUUAACCCCAGGCAGAAAAAUCGCCUCCCAGCCAUUGUAUAUUUACCCCUCUACAGCAUAGUGCUACACAUAAAGUAUAUCUCUGAUAAAAAUCCUGCUGGUUCACCACAAAAAGAACUUGUAACCUCUCCCUCUGCUCUCCCUAGCAGUAUCACUGUGUUGAAGCCCUCACCAGACCCUGUCAUGGCCGACUCCUGUGAGACCACUCUGUUCAUGCUGCGGUGCAAAAGGCUUUUUGUGACCUCAGUCUUCAACAGUGGGAAGAUAUAUCAUGGAUUUUGGAAAGGAGCAUCAUUACAGACUGUUAUCUCAGCAUCUACCUCCCACAGCUCGCUAGCAUUUUCUCUACAAGUCUAUUACUUUGUAAGUGUUGUCUUUCAUUUGGCUUUUCCUUCACUAAUAUCUGACUGAUUUGAUGAUCUUUACAGUUAACCUAUCAAUACAGUUAAGAUAGUUAAAUCAAAAUUUACCAGCCUACUCAAAAAUACUUGGUACAUUAGCUAGCUAAAGAUUUUGUAUUUCGUACAUUGCCUUAGCUUCCAUUUCAGGAAGGUCAUUUGA
rnacentral:lncRNA from 1 species